CGCAUGGUAGGAGAGCGUUCCGUAAGCCUGCGAAGGUGCCUUGUAAAGGGUGCUGGAGGUAUCGGAAGUGCGAAUGCUGACAUGAGUAGCGAUAAAGGGGGUGAAAGGCCCCCUCGCCGUAAGCCCAAGGUUUCCUACGCAACGUUCAUCGGCGUAGGGUGAGUCGGCCCCUAAGGCGAGGCAGAAAUGCGUAGCUGAUGGGAAGCAGGUCAAUAUUCCUGCACCAUUGUUAGAUGCGAUGGGGGGACGGAUCGCGGAAGGUUGUCCGGGUGUUGGAAGUCCCGGUCGCUGCAUUGGAGAAGGCACUUAGGCAAAUCCGGGUGCGUAAUUCAAGGGUGUGGCGCGAGCUUCUUCGGAAGCGAAGCAAUUGGAAGUGGUUCCAAGAAAAGCCUCUAAGCUUCAGUCUAACGAUGACCGUACCGCAAACCGACACAGGUGGGCGAGAUGAGUAUUCUAAGGCGCUUGAGAGAACUCGGGAGAAGGAACUCGGCAAAUUGGUACCGUAACUUCGGGAUAAGGUACGCCCUUGUAGCUUGACUGGCCUGCGCCAGGAGGGUGAAGGGGUUGCAAUAAACUGGUGGCUGCGACUGUUUAAUAAAAACACAGCACUCUGCAAACACGAAAGUGGACGUAUAGGGUGUGACGCCUGCCCGGUGCCGGAAGAUUAAAUGAUGGGGUGCAAGCUCUUGAUUGAAGUCCCGGUAAACGGCGGCCGUAACUAUAACGGUCCUAAGGUAGCGAAAUUCCUUGUCGGGUAAGUUCCGACCUGCACGAAUGGCGUAACGAUGGCCACACUGUCUCCUCCCGAGACUCAGCGAAGUUGAAGUGUUUGUGAUGAUGCAAUCUACCCGCGGCUAGACGGA
rnacentral:rRNA from 1 species